AGCAGCGAGGCUGGAUUCCCGGUCAGCUGGGCAGCCGGACCCCUUCGGGAGUCCCGGGGAGAGGCUGGAGCAGGCUGUGUGAACACCCGCCAACGAUUGCGGGGCUCUGGGUCCCCGACCCGGAACUCCAAAAGUUGAAGACAGACGCUGCUGCUUGCAGUUUUACGUAACUGGCUUUGCCGAGAUUCUGUAGACGAAGUGAGGAUGCUUUUGGAAUGUGACGGCGGCCGAUGCCCGGGAAGAGACCUGUGUUUUCCCCCCCGCAGUGCUUGCGGACAUAGGUUCGAAUCCAGGAUUGCUGUAUCACCAAGGGAAUCUCCGCAUCAGAACGUUUGGACCAAGUCAGGGUUCAGUGUGUGAUUACAAAGCGUUAUUGAGCCAAGUGGGUUCAGUGCGUGCCUUAAAAGCUACUCCUCAGUUUUACGACUGGUAUUUUUAGGUUGCUACGUAGUUUUGAAAGACCCCAAGCUUUCUGAACUAUUAUGAACAAUACGUUUAUUAAUGCUAAAACAAAUUUGGAUUGGUUCGCAGGGAUAAUUGCACAAACAGAAUUAUAGAACUAUGUCACCAGUUCCCUCAUGGAAUCACAGAUCAAGUUAUUCAGAAUGAAAUGCCUCAUAUAGAAGCCCAACAACGGGCAGUGGCUAUCAAUAGACUAUUGUCUAUGGGUCAGUUGGAUCUCUUAAGGAGUAACACAGGUCUUUUAUAUAGAAUAAAGGACUCUCAGAAUGCUGGUAAAAUGAAGGGAUCAGAUAACCAGGAGAAAUUAGUCUAUCAAAUCAUAGAGGAUGCAGGAAAUAAAGGAAUAUGGAGCAGAGAUAUUAGAUACAAAAGUAACUUGCCUUUAACAGAAAUCAACAAAAUUCUCAAGAAUUUGGAAAGCAAAAAGCUUAUCAAAGCUGUGAAGUCUGUAGCAGCUUCCAAAAAGAAGGUAUAUAUGCUUUAUAACCUGCAACCAGAUCGAUCUGUGACUGGAGGAGCGUGGUACAGUGACCAGGAUUUUGAAUCUGAAUUUGUUGAGGUGCUUAACCAACAGUGUUUCAAAUUCUUACAAACCAAGGCAGAAACAGCCCGAGAAAGUAAACAGAAUCCAAUGAUACAGAGAAACAGUUCCUUUGCUUCAUCACAUGAAGUGUGGAAAUAUAUCUGUGAACUGGGAAUCAGUAAGGUAGAGUUGUCCAUGGAGGACAUUGAAACCAUCUUGAAUACACUUAUUUAUGAUGGGAAAGUGGAGAUGACUAUCAUUGCUGCAAAGGAAGGCACAGUUGGCAGUGUGGAUGGACACAUGAGACUGUACAGGGCAGUCAGCCCAAUCCUCCCACCUACAGGCCUGGUCCGAGCACCUUGUGGACUCUGCCCGGUGAGUGAGAGCUGCUGUACUUUCACCCUUUUACCAGCACCAUGUGCAAAUGUCAUAUGGAGAAACAGCACACACACCUGUAGGGUUCACAAGUAGCUGUUCAAGCCUCCAUGAAGGUGAUGAACAGGGCUUUAAUGGACAGGUCUUACAUUCAUUCUUGGGACUGUUGUUAGUCCUGAAAUGCAUAAUUUUUGGUGAAGAAUAGUCAGUUUACCUGUGUAGGGAGGAAAUGAGAUUUGUUGAGAAGCUACCAUGAGCUGGUCAUUCUUAGUGAUUUUCCUUUGUGAUCUCUUAUGUCCUUGAAGCUAGUAGUGUUAUUUUCCCUAAAGAAUGAGGGAACUUGGGGCUGGGGGUGUAAUUCAGUGGCACAGCACAUACUUAGUAGACACGGGACCUCCCACCACCCCCAGAUUUGAUUCCCCAGUACUCCCCCAAGAAGGAGGAGGAAAUGUAGACUUGGGGAGAACAUAUAGCUUAGAAUUAAAUAACAGGAUUCAAACUGAGAGAUGAUGUUUUUUUUUCCCCCCCAACAUGCCCUAGGACUUUCACUCAUUCAUUCCCAGGUGGCUUAUGAACACUCUGCUGGAUGUUCUAAGGCCACUACAGACAGCAAGAGGUACCCCCAGCCCUUGUGACAUUUAUGUUCUUGGGCUGCUACUUUGUGCCAUAUUUCCUUAUGCUAGCCCUUGACUGUACCUAAGCUUUCUGAGGCCCAGUUCCAACAUUGACAAAAGGCCAACAUACUGGGAAUUCUACUUAGCACCCAUUGUAAAAAGGAAGAUAGUAACCAUGAAGCACCCACUUGAUCAAGGUUGUUUAUAAGUAUAGGACUCCCUUCUUGCACUCCAUACUAUCUGCUGAUAAUCCUCUUACCCAGUGGACAGGGGAACAUGAUUACCAUUAGGCUGUAUAAAAGGCCUCAUAACUGUAUGAUCACAAAGCAGGCACUGUAUGUUAAAUAUAAUUCUGUUCCCUUUCAGAGGAUUGUGUGUGUAUGUAUGUGUGUGUGUGUGUGUGUGUGUGUGUGUGUGUGUGUUUAAAUCAAGUAUUUUAUUAUUUUCUAUAUUAUGUACAGGUCAUAAAAGGCCAUAGCAGUUUUUCAACAUAUAAACACUUUAAAAGAGAGGGCACCAUGAAGGGUAGACAAGUAUUAGAAUGAAGUCCAGUAAUGAAGACAUAUACUCAGUGCAGUAUUUCUGAGGAAUAACAAUGCAGAUACUAAGUCCUCCACAUUUACUUUGCAACUAUUCCACAAUUUUAUCACAAGCCUGUCUAAGACUUACGGCUGAGUUGUACCAACUCUUUUUUUAAAAGUGAAGCCAGAAUAAAAUAAUGAAUUAGAAACUCUCCUCAAUUCUAGUAAUUUAUAGCUCACAAGAAGGAAAGUGACUUUCUCCUUCUGCCAUUAGUGACAGGAAAGAGAAAUGGAAGAAAACACUCACUAUUUCAAAUUCUUUCCAUGCAUUUGGAACUUUCUUUUGCUGUAGGGAUUUCCUUAAAGUAUUAUUUUAGGAUUUUUAAGAACUAGCUUCAAAUUCUUAAACACAUAAUACUGUAUAUACACUCCUUGAAUAACUCAAAAACAUUGGCUUCUACUUUGUGAAAAUAUAGUCUUUAAACCUAUAACUGGUAUCAGCAGAUCAAUAUAAAAAAAUACCGUACCAAGCUACACUCGUAUAUUUCUAUAUUAAGAACUUCAAAAUAUGCUUAUCACUGAGACCAUGCAUUAGUUUUCAGUCCACUAUGAACAAUUAUCUACUGCAUGUAAACAUGUCUAUUAACUAGAUAAAAUACAUCAAUCAUAAAUUUCUGUAAAAGAUAAUAUCUUCUUUAAAAAAAAACAAUAAUAAGCUAUUACUGCAUUGUUUCUAAUUUUAUGAAAAUGGAACAGCCAUAUGGCUAUUGCCAGUCCUGAGUUCAUUGUAGUAAAAAUGGCCCUAGUUCUUGGUUUAAGUCAGCAACCAAUUCAUUCUCUUCAAUAGAUGUCUUCUGUACUGUAAGUAAUAUUGCUAUUAGGUGGUAUUCUGUCCAUUAAUAAAAUUAUAUACCAGAAACUGA